GAUGAACGCUGGCGGCGUGCCUAAUACAUGCAAGUCGAGCGAACGGACGAGAAGCUUGCUUCUCUGAUGUUAGCGGCGGACGGGUGAGUAACACGUGGAUAACCUACCUAUAAGACUGGGAUAACUUCGGGAAACCGGAGCUAAUACCGGAUAAUAUUUUGAACCGCAUGGUUCAAAAGUGAAAGACGGUCUUGCUGUCACUUAUAGAUGGAUCCGCGCUGCAUUAGCUAGUUGGUAAGGUAACGGCUUACCAAGGCAACGAUGCAUAGCCGACCUGAGAGGGUGAUCGGCCACACUGGAACUGAGACGCGGUCCAGACUCCUACGGGAGGCAGCAGUAGGGAAUCUUCCGCAAUGGGCGAAAGCCUGACGGAGCAACGCCGCGUGAGUGAUGAAGGUCUUCGGAUCGUAAAACUCUGUUAUUAGGGAAGAACAUAUGUGUAAGUAACUGUGCACAUCUUGACGGUACCUAAUCAGAGAGCCACGGCUAACUACGUGCCAGCAGCCGCGGUAAUACGUAGGUGGCAAGCGUUAUCCGGAAUUAUUGGGUGUAAAGCGCGCGUAGGCGGUUUUUUAAGUCUGAUGUGAAAGCCCACGGCUCAACCGUGGAGGGUCAUUGGAAACUGGAAAACUUGAGUGCAGAAGAGGAAAGUGGAAUUCCAUGUGUAGCGGUGAAAUGCGCAGAGAUAUGGAGGAACACCAGUGGCGAAGGCGACUUUCUGGUCUGUAACUGACGCUGAUGUGCGAAAGCGUGGGGAUCAAACAGGAUUAGAUACCCUGGUAGUCCACGCCGUAAACGAUGAGUGCUAAGUGUUAGGGGGUUUCCGCCCCUUAGUGCUGCAGCUAACGCAUUAAGCACUCCGCCUGGGGAGUACGACCGCAAGGUUGAAACUCAAAGGAAUUGACGGGGACCCGCACAAGCGGUGGAGCAUGUGGUUUAAUUCGAAGCAACGCGAAGAACCUUACCAAAUCUUGACAUCCUUUGACAACUCUAGAGAUAGAGCUUUCCCCUUCGGGGGACAAAGUGACAGGUGGUGCAUGGUUGUCGUCAGCUCGUGUCGUGAGAUGUUGGGUUAAGUCCCGCAACGAGCGCAACCCUUAAGCUUAGUUGCCAUCAUUAAGUUGGGCACUCUAAGUUGACUGCCGGUGACAAACCGGAGGAAGGUGGGGAUGACGUCAAAUCAUCAUGCCCCUUAUGAUUUGGGCUACACACGUGCUACAAUGGACAAUACAAAGGGCAGCGAAACCGUGAGGUCAAGCAAAUCCCAUAAAGUUGUUCUCAGUUCGGAUUGUAGUCUGCAACUCGACUACAUGAAGCUGGAAUCGCUAGUAAUCGUAGAUCAGCAUGCUACGGUGAAUACGUUCCCGGGUCU
rnacentral:rRNA from 1 species